GACGAACGCUGGCGGCGUGCUUAACACAUGCAAGUCGAACGAAGAGCGAUGGAUUCUUUCGUCUAUCAAUCUUAGUGGCGAACGGGUGAGUAACGCGUAAUCAACCUGCCCUUCAGAGGGGGACAACAGAUGGAAACGACUGCUAAUACCACAUACGAUCCGACCUCGGCAUCGAGGAUGGAUUAAAGGUGGCCUCUAUUUAUAAGCUAUCACUGAAGGAGGGGAUUGCGUCUGAUUAGCUAGUUGGAGGGGUAACGGCCCACCAAGGCAAUGAUCAGUAGCCGGUCUGAGAGGAUGGACGGCCAAAUUGGGACUGAGACACGGCCCAGACUCCUGCGGGAGGCAGCAGGGGGGAAUCUUCCGCAAUGGACGAAAGGCUGACGGAGGAAGGCGGCGUGAGGGAUGACGGACGUCGGGUUGUAAAGCUCUGUUAAUCGGGACGAAAGGUCUUCUUGCGAAUAGUUAGAAGAAUUGACGGUACCGGAAGAGAAAGCCACGGCUAACUACGUG
rnacentral:rRNA from 1 species